rfam:TPA: Bos taurus chromosome 11, whole genome shotgun sequence.
UUCUGGGUGGCUCAGAUGGUAAAGCAUCUGCCUGCAAUGCAGGAGACCCAGGUUCAAUCCCUGGGUCAGGAA